CCUACGGGAGGCAGCAGUGAGGAAUAUUGGUCAAUGGCCGAGAGGCUGAACCAACCAAGUCGCGUGAGGGAAGACGGCCCUACGGGUUGUAAACCUCUUUUGUCGGGGAGCAAAGCGAGUCACGUGUGACUCAUUGAGAGUACCCGAAGAAAAAGCAUCGGCUAACUCCGUGCCAGCAGCCGCGGUAAUACGGAGGAUGCGAGCGUUAUCCGGAUUUAUUGGGUUUAAAGGGUGCGCAGGCGGAGGUGCAAGUCAGCGGUCAAAUUGCGGGGCUCAACCCCGUACUGCCGUUGAAACUGCAGCCCUUGAGUGCGCGAGAAGUAUGCGGAAUGCGUGGUGUAGCGGUGAAAUGCAUAGAUAUCACGCAGAACUCCGAUUGCGAAGGCAGCAUACCGGCGCGCAACUGACGCUCAUGCACGAAAGCGUGGGUAUCGAACAGGAUUAGAUACCCGAGUAGUC
rnacentral:rRNA from 1 species